CCUACGGGGGGCAGCAGUGGGGAAUAUUGGACAAUGGGGGGAACCCUGAUCCAGCCAUGCCGCGUGUGUGAAGAAGGCCCUCGGGUUGUAAAGCACUUUCAGUGAGGAAGAACGCCUGGUGGUUAAUACCCAUCAGGAAAGACAUCACUCACAGAAGAAGCACCGGCUAACUCCGUGCCAGCAGCCGCGGUAAUACGGAGGGUGCGAGCGUUAAUCGGAAUUACUGGGCGUAAAGCGCGCGUAGGUGGCUUGAUAAGCCGGUUGUGAAAGCCCCGGGCUCAACCUGGGAACGGCAUCCGGAACUGUCAAGCUAGAGUGCAGGAGAGGAAGGUAGAAUUCCCGGUGUAGCGGUGAAAUGCGUAGAGAUCGGGAGGAAUACCAGUGGCGAAGGCGGCCUUCUGGACUGACACUGACACUGAGGUGCGAAAGCGUGGGUAGCAAACAGGAGUAGAUACCCUUGUAGUC
rnacentral:rRNA from 1 species